rnacentral:lncRNA from 1 species
GUUUUGGAUUUAUGGGGCUUUAUUCAUAAAAAAGGGAGGAUUUUCAACACUUUGGACAAUAACUCAAAAAGGCUUUCACCAAUGUCCAUGAAACUUUGGUGAAUUGUUUAUAUCUAUUGAUGUAAGCUCCCUUUCAAUUUUUAUAAAUUUCAGAUUUUAAGUUUUGGAUUAAUGGGGCUUUAUUCAUAAAAAAAAGGGGAUUUUUAACACUUCGGACAAUAACUCAAAAAGGCUUUCACCAAUGUCCAUGAAACUUUGGUGAAUUGUUUAUAUCUAUUGAUGUAAGCUUCCUUUCAAUUUUUAUAAAUUUCAGAUUUUAAGUUUUGGAUUUAUGGGACUUUAUUCAUAAAAAAAGGGGGAUUUUUAACAC